rnacentral:miRNA from 1 species
CCCCGAGUUGUCUUCCUCUUUCCCC